GCCCUGUUGGCCAAGUGGUAAGGCGUCGCACUCGUAAUGCGAAGAUCAUCGGUUCGAUUCCGAUACCGGGCA
rnacentral:tRNA from 2 species